rnacentral:rRNA from 1 species
UGGAGAGUUUGAUCCUGGCUCAGAUUGAACGCUGGCGGCAGGCUUAACACAUGCAAGUCGAGCGGAAACGAUUCUAGCUUGCUAGAAGGCGUCGAGCGGCGGACGGGUGAGUAAUGCAUGGGAAUCUGCCCGAUAGUGGGGGACAACCUGGGGAAACUCAGGCUAAUACCGCAUACGUCCUACGGGAGAAAGCAGGGGAUCUUCGGACCUUGCGCUAUCGGAUGAGCCCAUGUCGGAUUAGCUUGUUGGUGAGGUAACGGCUCACCAAGGCGACGAUCCGUAGCUGGUCUGAGAGGAUGAUCAGCCACACUGGGACUGAGACACGGCCCAGACUCCUACGGGAGGCAGCAGUGGGGAAUAUUGGACAAUGGGCGAAAGCCUGAUCCAGCCAUGCCGCGUGUGUGAAGAAGGCCUUCGGGUUGUAAAGCACUUUCAGCGAGGAAGAAYGCUUCGGGAUUAAUACUCCCGAGGAAAGACAUCACUCGCAGAAGAAGCACCGGCUAACUCCGUGCCAGCAGCCGCGGUA